CACCAUAUGUUGAAGAUAUUUUAAAAUAUAUAUUUUUUUAUUAGUUAUUAUAUUUAUUAGCCAUUUUUAAUUUAAUUUGACAAUACUAAAAGAGUAUGAAAAUAUUGAAAUCUCUCAGUGUGUCACAUUACACUUGCCCUGAAUAUUUCAGUGCCACACAAUUUGCCAUAGUGGCAACGGUAAUUUUUAUUAAAAAAAAUUUCUCUUCAUGAAAAUGGAUAUUUGGCAGUAAAGCGCUUAAGUUAAGUUGGGAUGCGAAUAUAAAUGUGUUUAAACAACAUCUGUGUUAAAUGUAAAAAUAAAUAUAUGAAAAUAUUUAGUAUUCUGACAGCUUAUCUGAGUUGGGUCUUUAUAGCCUUUGCUUUUCUUUAUAUUUGCUCAUUAAAAUUUAGCAUAUUCCAUAGAACUAAACAUUUGUAGGUCAUGGUAGCCACAGGUAAAACCAUGAAUGGCUAUUUCUUUUUCUUUUCUAUACAAGUCUGGUAUUCAUGAAAAACAGUAACCUGAACACAUUUAGUAUGGAGAAAAAUGCAAAAAUUACCAUAGCUUCAUAACAAACAAUUUUUAUAAUAUUCCAUUAUUUCUGUAACAGUUAAUACAGGCUUGAGUCGUGUCUUACUGUGGAUGUCUGAUGGCAAGUUGGAUGUAGUGAUUUUUACAAUGCCAACUCACAGAUGUUUUAUUGUUAUUAUUAACUGUGUAUUAUAUUGAUUCCUUUUGAUAUAUGAGUGAUGUGUGUGGCACACUUUUUCUUUUUCUCUAGUUUCUUUGUUUCUGCUGCCUUGGCUGCACCAUCUGUGGAAACCAGACCUGGUGAGGACCCUCUCCUCCAUCCUCUUAUAUCACUCGAACAAGCAGGUGGCACUGUUAGCGACUUGCUUGGCGCCGCCAACGACAUGGAAACAGAAGAGAAGAAUAAACGCUAGCGUGAGGGACGUUUUGAAUACGAUGAGCGGCCAACAGACAUUUCAGUAGACCGUACACACAGUUUCAAUGGAGGCACUGAGAGUGCUCGGACU